ACCCCGAGAUCAAGAGUCACAUGCUGUACCGACUGAGCCAGCCGGGUGCCCCUGUAAUCUUAAAUUUUCCAGUAGCCACAUUCAAAAGUAAAAGGACACAGCAGCUCUCUGAAGAAUAGAGAGAGCCUUUUAUGGAUGGAGAAACUGAGGCUCAAAGAGGCGGCAUGACUUGCCCAAGGUCAAAAGGCUAAGAGAGAGGGUGAACCUGAAUUCAGUCACUAUACCCAUGAAUAUAUACCCAGUGACUGAGUCUAAGUCACUAUACCCAUGAUGCCACGGCUAACCAAGCACCAUGUUGGAUACCUUAGAAAUGGCGGAUGGACACCCUACAGAUUUAGCCCGUUGACUCCUUGCUCGGAAAGCUGAGGUCUGGAGUUCUAUUCCAUGCCGAUCAGUAAGUAUUAAAUUCCCAUCUUGAAAAAGAGUUGGAUAUGACUUAAAAGGUAUUCGGACAAUAAAGUAGUUUGGUUUUUUUA